rnacentral:tRNA from 1 species
ACCACCUUUUGUCCAGUCGGUGGAUUCCUGCUUCACAUGCAGGAGGUGCGGGGUUCGAGCCCCGUAGGUGUUG